rnacentral:rRNA from 1 species
UACGGAAGGCAGCAGUGGGGAAUAUUGCACAAUGGGCGAAAGCCUGAUGCAGCUAUGCCGCGUGUAUGAAGAAGGCCUUAGGGUUGUAAAGUACUUUCAUCGGGGAGGAAAAACAAAACUAAUAAUUUUAUUUCUUGACGUUACCCGAAAAAGAAGCACCGGCUAACUCCGUGCCAGCAGCCGCGGUAAUACGGAGGGUGCUAGCGUUAAUCAGAAUUACUGGGCGUAAAGAGCACGUAGGUGGUUUUUUUAAGUCAGAUGUGAAAUCCCUGGGCUUAACCUAGGAACUGCAUUUUGAAACUGAAAUACUAGAGUAUCGUAGAGGGAGGUAGAAUUCUAGGUGUAGCGGUGAAAUGCGUAGAUAUCUGGAGGAAUACCUGUGGCGAAAGCGGCCUCCUAAACGAAUACUGACACUGGGGUGCGAAAGCGUGGGGAGCAAACGAGGGAUUAGAUACC